rnacentral:rRNA from 1 species
ACGAACGCUGGCGGCGUGCCUAACACAUGCAAGUCGAGCGAGAAAGGGGAGCAAUCCCUGAGUAAAGCGGCGCACGGGUGAGUAACACGUAGGUAACCUUCCCUUGAGACUGGGACAACCUGUCGAAAGACGGGCUAAUACUAGAUAAGACCACGUCCACUUCGGCGGAUGAGGUAAAAGAUGGCCUCUGCUUGCAAGCUAUCACUUAAGGAUGGGCCUGCGCACCAUUAGCUAGUUGGUGAGGUAACGGCUCACCAAGGCAACGAUGGUUAGCUGAUCUGAGAGGAUGAUCAGCCACACUGGAACUGAAACACGGUCCAGACUCCUACGGGAGGCAGCAGUGGGGAAUAUUGCGCAAUGGGGGAAACCCUGACGCAGCAACGCCGCGUGAGUGAUGAAGGCCUUCGGGUUGUAAAGCUCUGUCGGAAGGAAAGAAACUAUUUGAUGCUAACAUCAUCAGAUAUUGACGGUACCUUCAAAGGAAGCACCGGCUAACCACGUGCCAGCAGCCGCGGUAAUACGUGGGGUGCAAGCGUUGUUCGGAAUUACUGGGCGUAAAGCGCGUGUAGGCGGUUUGUUAUGUCAGGUGUGAAAGCCCUCGGCCCAACUGAGGAAGUGCGCCUGAAACUGGCAGACUUGAGUACGAGAGAGGAGGACGGAAUUCCCAGUGUAGAGGUGAAAUUCGUAGAUAUUGGGAGGAACACCGGCGGCGAAAGCGGUCCUCUGGAUCGAUACUGACGCUAAGACGCGAAAGCGUGGGUAGCAAACAGGAUUAGAUACCCUGGUAGUCCACGCCGUAAACGAUGGAUAUUAGAUGUUGCGAGUUUAACCCUCGCAGUGUCGUCGCUAACGCAUUAAAUAUCCCGCCUGGGGAGUACGGCCGCAAGGUUAAAACUCAAAGGAAUUGACGGGGGCCCGCACAAGCGGUGGAGCAUGUGGUUCAAUUCGACGCAACGCGAAAAACCUUACCUAGGCUUGACAUCUGGAGAACCCCUCCCAAAAGAGGGGGUGCCCGCAAGGGAGCUCCAAGACAGGUGCUGCAUGGCUGUCGUCAGCUCGUGUCGUGAGAUGUUGGGUUAAGUCCCGCAACGAGCGCAACCCUUUACUUCUGUUGCCAUCAGGUUAGUGCGGCACUCUAAGAGGACUGCCGGGUUACAACCGGGAGGAAGGUGGGGAUGACGUCAAGUCAUCAUGGCCUUUAUGUCCUAGGGCUACACACGUGCUACAAUGGCCGAGACAACCGGUCGCAAUCCCGUAAGGGGGAGCUAAUCCAUAAACCGGUCUCAGUUCGGAUUGGAGUCUGCAACUCGCCUCAUGAAGUUGGAAUCGCUAGUAAUCGCGGAUCAGCACGCCGCGGUGAAUACGUUCCCGGGCCUUGUACACACCGCCCGUCACAUCACGAAAGCCGGCUUAUACUAGAAGUCGGCUGCGCUAACCCGCAAGGGAGGCAGCGCCUAAGGUAUGAAUGGUGAUUGGGGUG